AGAGUUUGAUCAUGGCUCAGGACGAACGCUGGCGGCGUGCCUAAUACAUGCAAGUCGACGCUUCUUUCCUCCCGAGUGCUUGCACUCAAUUGGAAAGAGGAGUGGCGGACGGGUGAGUAACACGUGGGUAACCUACCCAUCAGAGGGGGAUAACACUUGGAAACAGGUGCUAAUACCGCAUAACAGUUUAUGCCGCAUGGCAUAAGAGUGAAAGGCGCUUUCGGGUGUCGCUGAUGGAUGGACCCGCGGUGCAUUAGCUAGUUGGUGAGGUAACGGCUCACCAAGGCCACGAUGCAUAGCCGACCUGAGAGGGUGAUCGGCCACACUGGGACUGAGACACGGCCCAGACUCCUACGGGAGGCAGCAGUAGGGAAUCUUCGGCAAUGGACGAAAGUCUGACCGAGCAACGCCGCGUGAGUGAAGAAGGUUUUCGGAUCGUAAAACUCUGUUGUUAGAGAAGAACAAGGACGUUAGUAACUGAACGUCCCCUGACGGUAUCUAACCAGAAAGCCACGGCUAACUACGUGCCAGCAGCCGCGGUAAUAC
rnacentral:rRNA from 1 species